UUUGCCCACAAGGAUUAUUAGACAGUGCAAAGAGUACCUGCUACAACAAUUAUCAAAACGAUCAAACUGCAUCCAAACUCCAUUGUUGUGUGAUCGAAUACAGCAGGACUUGUGUUCCGGAAAUACUCGAAAGGCAAAGAUGCGACGAGACGUUUCUUCUUGAGCAUUUCUUUAAGGACAUCAACGCCGACUGUGGAACAUCGAAGCCAGUCUGCUUGGAGUGCACUCAAAACGCAAUAUCGGAUGCGGAAGAUGUGUGCUUGAGGAAAUACGAACAGGAACACGGCAUCAUUUCUAGAGGCCUGAU